GACGAACGCUGGCGGCGUGCUUAACACAUGCAAGUCGAACGCACCUUCGGGUGAGUGGCGGACGGGUGAGUAACGCGUAGGUAAUCUACUCUUCAGUGGGGGAUACCCAGCCGAAAGGUUGGUUAAUACCGCAUACGCUCCUGUGCAGAGAGGUACAGGAGGAAAGGUUUACUGCUGAGGAAUGAGCCUGCGUCCGAUUAGCUAGUUGGUGGGGUAAAGGCUCACCAAGGCGACGAUCGGUAGCUGGUCUGAGAGGACGAUCAGCCACACUGGAACUGAGACACGGUCCAGACUCCUACGGGAGGCAGCAGUGGGGAAUUUUCCGCAAUGGGCGAAAGCCUGACGGAGCAACGCCGCGUGGGUGAUGAAGUUUUUCGGAACGUAAACCCUUUCGCCAGGGACGAAGCGAGUGACGGUACCUGGAGAAGAAGCAUCGGCUAACUACGUGCCAGCAGCCGCGGUAAU
rnacentral:rRNA from 1 species